rnacentral:rRNA from 1 species
CACGUAGGGGGCAAGCGUUGUCCGGAUUUAUUGGGCGUAAAGAGCUCGUAGGCGGUUUCGUAAGUCGGAUGUGAAAACUCCAGGCUCAACUUGGAGACGCCAUUCGAUACUGCGAUGACUUGAGUCCGGUAGGGGAGUGUGGAAUUCCUGGUGUAGCGGUGAAAUGCGCAGAUAUCAGGAGGAACACCGGCGGCGAAGGCGGCUCUCUGGGACGGUACUGACGCUGAGACGCGAAAGCGUGGGGAGCGAACAGG